GCGGGUCCCCGGGGCGGGACGCGGCCGCAGGGCAGAGGCCUCGGCGGGGCCCUCGCCAGGGGCGGCGGCUGCCGUGCUGUCUCCGGGCCGGGCCGGGGCGAGGCCUCGGGCUGCGGCUCGCUGUGCCGCGGCUCCCUGUGCCGCCGGCUGCAGGCCCCGCUGCAGGAGCGGGGCGCCGCGAGUGGCCGGGAAGCGCGAAGCUGCCGGGCGGGGCCUGGGCAGUGCGGGGCGGGGGUGCGGGGCCAGGCCUGCCGCCGCUCGGGGGGGCCCGCCGGGCCUUGGCGAGCCUCGGCGCUCUGCAGCUGUUCUGGUCCAGUUCUUACCCCCGGCCGCGGUUUGUUCUCCUCCCGGCUGUGCCGCAGGUGGACCCCAAGUCAGCGAGGAAGCUGUAUAAUUAAAAGGUGUUUUUAAAAUCCCCAGAGGAAUUUAUAUUUUUUUUUCUUACACGUCAAAAAUACAUAUUUUGAGCAAGACAAUUUUUUAUCGGUAGUUUGGUUAAGAAAAAGGUAAAUCCUAAAGGUGUGCUGAGCAAGGUUGGCAUUAGAAAUGGUCUGCAGGUGGAGCGCUGGGAUUCCACCUAUAAAAGACCUUUAUAUCAAGAUGUUUUAUGUUUCAGUGCUUGAGAAGAUGGCAGAAUUCCACCAGUGGGAUUUUCAUGCAGGUGGGGGGAAAAUGCCAAGUAUCUGCACCUGUUUCAGACCUGAGCUUAAUUGUUUUUCUUUGGCAAUAAGGAACGGGAAGACUACAUAUGUUAAAAGACUGAUCUCCAGAGGACUUGAGUUUUUGCUUCUAGUUCUUGAAGAACCAGAUCCUCCUCAUUAGACAAAUAAUAAUCAGAAGACUGGAUAUAUGUAAGUUUUUUUAAAAAACUGCAGUGUAGUGCAGAACAAGAACAAAAAUGUAGUAAGGAGCCAACACACGGAAAAAUAAACAUAUUCAAAAUCUUACUGAAAGCCCUUCUUUAAAAACAACAGACCAACUGGAAAAAACCCAAACAAACCAAACAAACCCAAAAGCAAAAAAACCAGUAAGCUUUAAGAUAUUUGGAAAGACAAGAUCGACAUUUUGAAGACUCACUGCACAGUACAACCUAGGUAGUAUCCAUUGCUGUAUAGCCUGAUCACCCCCUGCACCAGUAAUAAAAAAUGGUACAUUAUUUUUGA